GGCUAGACCUUGCAGUAAUGCAGUUAACACAUUAAGUGUGCCGCCUGGGGAGUACGGUCGCAAGAUUAAAACUCAAAGGAAUAGACGGGGACCCGCACAAGCGGUGGAGCAUGUGGUUUAAUUCGACGAUACGCGAAGAACCUUACCUGGACUUGACAUAGAAAGAAUAACGCAGAGAUGUGAUAGUGCUAGCUUGCUAGAACUUUCAUACAGGUGCUGCACGGCUGUCGUCAGCUCGUGUCGUGAGAUGUUGGGUUAAGUCCCGCAACGAGCGCAACCCUCGUGUUUAGUUGAUAACAGUUCGGCUGAUAACUCUAAACAGACUGCCUGGGUAACCAGGAGGAAGGUGAGGACGACGUCAAGUCAUCAUGGCCCUUAUGUCCAGGGCUACACACGUGCUACAAUGGGGUAUACAAAGAGCAGCGAUACUGUGAAGUGGAGCAAAUCUCAAAAAUAUCUCCCAGUUCGGAUAGUAGUCUGCAACUCGACUACUUGAAGUUGGAAUCGCUAGUAAUCGUAGAUCAGCAAUGCUACGGUGAAUACGUUCCCGGGUCUUGUACUCACCGCCCGUCACACCAUGGGAGUUGAACUCAUUCGAAGCGGGGAUGCUAAAGUA
rnacentral:rRNA from 1 species